rnacentral:tRNA from 1 species
GUUUUGAUAGUUUAAAUAAAACAAUGGUCUUGUAAAUCAUAAUUGAAUCAUCUCUCAAAACU